UACGAAGGGGGCUAGCGUUGUUCGGAAUUACUGGGCGUAAAGCGCACGUAGGCGGAUACUUAAGUCAGGGGUGAAAUCCCGGGGCUCAACCCCGGAACUGCCUUUGAUACUGGGUAUCUCGAGUCCGGAAGAGGUGAGUGGAAUUCCGAGUGUAGAGGUGAAAUUCGUAGAUAUUCGGAAGAACACCAGUGGCGAAGGCGGCCAACUGGUCCGGCACUGACGCUGAGGUGCGAAAGCGUGGGGAGCAAACAGG
rnacentral:rRNA from 1 species